GCAGAGGCUUGAUUGAGUGCAGCGUUGAUGAACCCCUCUGCGCCCAGGCCGGCCAUGGAACGCGGGGGGUUCUUCGACCCUGCACCCAAUCACGCCUCUGCU